rnacentral:rRNA from 1 species
GUUAAUAAGUGGAUAGUCUAUAUUCUAUAUAUACGCACUGUCAACUUAUUUCCUUCUUUUUGGAUAUACUAUUUUAUAGUGUUCCAAAUCUUUUACUUUGAGAAAAUUAGAGUGUUCAAAGCAGGCGUAACAAAGCCUUUGAAUAUAUUAGCAUGGGAUAAUGAAAUAAGACUUUUUGCCUUAUUUUCGUUGGUCAUAGGGCUAAAGUA